UUUCCUGCUUUAUGGCGAAGGGUGAAUGAGGAUCUGCCGGAGGGAGGGAGACAACAAGGAGAGAGGGGCCCCGGGCCCUAGCGCCCUCCUCCUCAGGGCCAGCCACGCCCUGCCUUCCAGCCCCUCUGUGCAGCUGGGGCCACGCGGCCCAGGACAUUUCGGGCAUCGUACCUGCCACCACUGGGAAAGAUGAUUGUGCCGUCCCCCGAUCCUGAGGUGGGGUGUGCGGACCUGUGCUUCUCUCUCUCGGCUCCCCAGGCCAGAGGGCCUUCUUGGGCCCAGGCAAGAGCAAACAGUGUCCUUCGACGGCACAGUCCGAGUCACCAAGGCCAGGAAAGGUCUGCUGACGGCCAGCUUUCUCUGCACCCCCUCGUGGUGGCCGCGGCCCAGGCUGAUAAAAUCGCUGACGCAGAUUGCCUGCCCAGCUGCGGAGCUGGCGUGGGCCCAGCAGCCCAGACGGUGCCUGGCGACAGUUCAGCUGCUUACUGGCAUCGUCCACUUUGUCCUGCUCAGACUUUCAAGGCGUAAGGCUUGCCUCACUCCUGGAUCAAACGACAGCGUGAGCAAAGUGGGGUAAGCAGAGCCACCCUAAGGGAAUUCCUCAGCUGGAAUGGGGGGUGGAAGCCACGGCUACUAGGGACAGAUGCGUGUGAACGGAGGGAACAACGGUCCUGGAAGUUCUGUCAGAGUUGUGGAGUCUCUGCUGGGCUCGGUGAGGGGAGACCAGUGACAUCUCUGUUAGCUUUUCCCAGAAGCUGACCCACUGUAAACCAUUUCACCUAUCCUGAGCACUAGAAAUAAAAACUCCCCUGUAACUUGCAAGUUAUUGUUCUGGAUUUCUCAGCUCACUCACCAAUACACCUUUACUGAGUAUCUAUUCUAAGAGGGGCACCUUGUUGGUGCCAGAGAUUUAAAAAAAAAAAAAAAUGCUUCAAGAUGCUGCCCUGCCUUAUGAAACCC